rnacentral:tRNA from 1 species
AAAAAGUUAGUUAAUAAUAUAAUAUAAAAUUGUCAAUUUUAAGUUACUAGAUUAAUAGUACUUUUUG